rnacentral:rRNA from 1 species
UACGUAGGGACCGAGCGUUGUCCGGAUUCAUUGGGCGUAAAGAGCUCGUAGGCGGCUGCUCAAGUCGAAUGUGAAAACUCGAGGCUCAACCUCGAGCCUGCAUUCGAUACUGGGCGGCUAGAGUCUGGUAGGGGGAUCUGGAAUUCCUGGUGUAGCGGUGGAAUGCGCAGAUAUCAGGAGGAACACCGGUGGCGAAGGCGGGGAUCCUGGGCCAGUACUGACACUGAUGAGCGAAAGCCAGGGGAGCAAACGGGG